rnacentral:sRNA from 1 species
UUUUAGCCCAGAUAGCAAUGGAAACCCCGCAGGCAGAAGUUGUAGUUUUUAUUGUCCUAAAAAAGCGACCAAAGGAAGCUCUUUUUAGGACUUAUAAAAACACAACUUCUGGCGAGGAGUUGCAAUGAAUAGCUGGAUUAGCU